ensembl:miRNA mdo-mir-7382 mdo-mir-7382
AGAGGCUCCUUUCUCGAGUGGGAUAGUCUGAUCAACCCACUAGGGGGAGAAGUUUCUGU